rnacentral:rRNA from 1 species
GUCGAAAGACGGACUUAGUGAUCCGGUGGUUCCGCAUGGAAGGGCCAUCGCUCAACGGAUAAAAGCUACCCCGGGGAUAACAGGCUUAUCUCCCCCAAGAGUUCACAUCGACGGGGAGGUUUGGCACCUCGAUGUCGGCUCAUCGCAUCCUGGGGCUGUAGUCGGUCCCAAGGGUUGGGCUGUUCGCCCAUUAAAGCGGUACGCGAGCUGGGUUCAGAACGUCGUGAGACAGUUCGGUCCCUAUCCGUCGUGGGCGUAGGAAAUUUGAGAGGAGCUGUCCUUAGUACGAGAGGACCGGGAUGGACAUACCUCUGGUGUACCAGUUGUCGUGCCAACGGCAUAGCUGGGUAGCUAUGUGUGGACGGGAUAAGUGCUGAAAGCAUCUAAGCAUGAAGCCCCCCUCAAGAUGAGAUUUCCCAACUUCGGUUAUAAGAUCCCUCAAAGAUGAUGAGGUUAAUAGGUUCGAGGUGGAAGCAUGGUGACAUGUGGAGCUGACGAAUACUAA